UGAGCUGUGAGGGUGUGACGAUGGGGUGAGCUGUGAGGGUAUGAUGAUGGGGUGACCUGUGAGGAGUGAGGAUGGGGUGGACUUUGAGGGUGUGACGAUGGGGUGAGCUGUGAGGGUGUGACGAUGGGGUGAGCUGUGAGAGUGUGAUGAUGGGGUGGACUGUGAGGGUGUGAUGAUGGGGUGAGCUUUGAGGGUGUGAUGAUGGGGGUGAGCUGUGAGGGUGUGAUGAUGGGGUGAGCUGUGAGGUGUGAUGAUGGGGUGGACUGUGAGGGUGUGAUGAUGGGGUGAGCUGUGACGGUGUGACGAUGGGGUGGACUGUGAGGGUGUGAUGAUGGGGUGAGCUGUGAGGGUGUGAUGAUGGGGUGGGCUGUGAGGGUGUGACGAUGGGGUGAGCUCUG
rnacentral:lncRNA from 1 species